ensembl:snRNA U6 U6 spliceosomal RNA
AUGUUUGUUUCAAAAGCACACAUACUAAAAUUGGACUGAUACAGAGAAGAUUAGCAUGACCCUGAACAGGAAUGACAUGCAAGCUCAUGAAUCGCUCCAUAUUUAA